rnacentral:misc_RNA from 1 species
AAAAGCUAUCAAUAACGUGCAAACAAACUGAAACAUGUGGAAGCAAUAACACUCCCACGUCCACUUACCGCUGCUUCGCGCGGAGAUAGAUCACAGUAGCAGUCGCAGCAACCGUGGCAGUAGAAGCCACCGCAGCCGCUGCAGCUGGCCACGAGACCCUGAACCCCUCCGUCGCCGCAGUUCCCACCUCCUCCACAUUGCCGUUCUCCAUCACAGGCAGGUCCCUCUUAAUUUCCGUGGGCGGCGGCCCUUGCACCUUCUCCUCCAG